rnacentral:tRNA from 1 species
GCCGGAAUAGCGUCAGUUGGUAGAGCAGAGGACUGAAAAUCCCG